CCUACGGGAGGCAGCAGUGAGGAAUAUUGGUCAAUGGUCGGGAGACUGAACCAGCCAAGCCGCGUGAGGGAUGAAGGUACAGAGUAUCGUAAACCUCUUUUGUCAGGGAACAAAGGCGGGGACGCGUCCCCGGAUGAGUGUACCUGAAGAAAAAGCAUCGGCUAACCACGUGCCAGCAGCCGCGGUAAUACGGAGGAUGCGAGCGUUAUCCGGAUUUAUUGGGUUUAAAGGGUGCGCAGGCGGUCUGUUAAGUCAGCGGUAAAAGCCCGGGGCUCAACCCCGGCCCGCCGUUGAAACUGGCAGUCUCGAGUUGGAGAGAAGUAUGCGGAAUGCGCGGUGUAGCGGUGAAAUGCAUAGAUAUCGCGCAGAACUCCGAUUGCGAAGGCAGCAUGCCGGCUCCACACUGACGCUGAGGCACGAAAGCGUGGGUAUCGAACAGGAUUAGAUACCCCUGUAGUC
rnacentral:rRNA from 1 species